rnacentral:rRNA from 1 species
UGGGUUCAGAACGUCGUGAGACAGUUCGGUCCCUAUCUGUCGCGGGCGCAGGAAAUCUGAGAGGAUCUGCCCCUAGUACGAGAGGACCGGGGUGGACGCACCGCUGGUGUACCAGUUGUGCCGCCAGGCGCACCGCUGGGUAGCCAAGUGCGGACGGGAUAAGCGCUGAAAGCAUCUAAGCGCGAAGCCCCCCUCAAGAUGAGAUUUCCCACUCGCAGGCUUGCCUGCGAGGUAAGACCCCUCGGAGAAGACGAGGUGGAUCGGUCCGAGGUGUAAGCGCAGCAAUGCGUUCAGCUGACGGAUCCGAAUCGGUCGAGGGCUUCUCCU